GCGAACUGUUUUACGUGCGCAUCAUCAAGUUUGCCCCAAUUGCUUAGAGAGCAUCAUUGGGCUUGGUUUGGUUUCUGUGUUGGCUACCUACUUGGAAGAGAGUGUCCCUUAAUGUUUGUCUUUGUAUCGGCUUGCACCCUUUUAGGGGGAAUGCUCGGUGAUCUUAGUAAUGCUUCUCAUAUUCCAUUGUCACGCUAUCACAGUGUAGUGGUGGCAACGGCCUAUGUGUAAGUAUUCGUAAUCUUGGAUGCGGAAUGCGGAAUUGGGUAUUGGGUUGAAUAAACCUUUUAUCCCAAGCAGAGCAUCUUUAUGCUCGGCACGUACGACMCUUGCAAUUGCGUUGACCUUUCCCAACUUGAUUGAUGGGGGGGCUCAUGCGAUGCAAGC
rnacentral:misc_RNA from 1 species